rnacentral:rRNA from 1 species
AGUCGAACGGUGAAGCUCASCUUGCUGGGUGGAUCAGUGGCGAACGGGUGAGUAACACGUGAGCAACCUGCCCCUGACUCUGGGAUAAGCGCUGGAAACGGCGUCUAAUACUGGAUACSAGACGUGAUCGCAUGGUCAACGUUUGGAAAGAUUUUUUGGUUGGGGAUGGGCUCGCGGCCUAUCAGCUUGUUGGUGAGGUAAYGGCUCACCAAGGCGUCGACGGGUAGCCGGCCUGAGAGGGUGACCGGCCACACUGGGACUGAGACACGGCCCAGACUCCUACGGGAGGCAGCAGUGGGGAAUAUUGCACAAUGGGCGGAAGCCUGAUGCAGCAACGCCGCGUGAGGGAUGACGGCCUUCGGGUUGUAAACCUCUUUUAGCAAGGAAGAAGCGAAAGUGACGGUACUUGCAGAAAAAGCGCCGGCUAACUACGUGCCAGCAGCCGCGGUAAUACGUAGGGCGCAAGCGUUAUCCGGAAUUAUUGGGCGUAAAGAGCUCGUAGGCGGUUUGUCGCGUCUGCUGUGAAAUCCCGAGGCUCAACCUCGGGUCUGCAGUGGGUACGGGCAGACUAGAGUGCGGUAGGGGAGAUUGGAAUUCCUGGUGUAGCGGUGGAAUGCGCAGAUAUCAGGAGGAACACCGAUGGCGAAGGCAGAUCUCUGGGCCGUAACUGACGCUGAGGAGCGAAAGGGUGGGGAGCAAACAGGCUUAGAUACCCUGGUAGUCCACCCCGUAAACGUUGGGAACUAGUUGUGGGGUCCUUUCCACGGAUUCCGUGACGCAGCUAACGCAUUAAGUUCCCCGCCUGGGGAGUACGGCCG